GGCAACGUGGCCGAGCGGUUAAGGCGAGUGACUCGAAUGGUCAACUGCUGACUCAGAGGUAAUCUCUUAUCGUUAGAUGCGCAGGUUCGAGUCCUGCCGUUGUCG